rnacentral:lncRNA from 1 species
UUUUUGUAUCUGCUGUGGAUCAGUAAUUUUCAUCUGGUCUUCAGUAAGGAUACAACUCACCUUGUUUCUUGCUUGUAUGGCUUACAUGUAUGCAUGGAAGUAUUUUGUAUUGUUAUCUCCCAGUUGGAUCCAAUUAGCUCUUGAUUUCUGCCUCAUUAUUUGUUCUUGGACUGCUUCCCAUUUUUCAAUGUUCUGUAAUAACUGUGUUUCUUUUUGGAUAUCCUGCUUGUUGAAAUGGUCUUCAU